rnacentral:rRNA from 1 species
GACGAACGCUGGCGGCGUGCUUAACACAUGCAAGUCGAACGGAAAGGCCCUGCUUGCAGGGUACUCGAGUGGCGAACGGGUGAGUAACACGUGAGUGAUCUGCCCUGCACUUCGGGAUAAGCCUGGGAAACUGGGUCUAAUACCGGAUAGGAGCCAUUUUUAGUGUGAUGGUUGGAAAGUUUUUUCGGUGUAGGAUGAGCUCGCGGCCUAUCAGCUUGUUGGUGGGGUAAUGGCCUACCAAGGCGGCGACGGGUAGCCGGCCUGAGAGGGUGGACGGCCACAUUGGGACUGAGAUACGGCCCAGACUCCUACGGGAGGCAGCAGUGGGGAAUAUUGCACAAUGGGCGCAAGCCUGAUGCAGCGACGCCGCGUGUGGGAUGACGGCCUUCGGGUUGUAAACUCCUUUCGCUAGGGACGAAGCUUUUGUGACGGUACCUAGAUAAGAAGCACCGGCUAACUACGUG